AGUGAACGCUGGCGGUAGGCCUAACACAUGCAAGUCGAACGGCAGCACAGUAAGAGCUUGCUCUUACGGGUGGCGAGUGGCGGACGGGUGAGGAAUACAUCGGAAUCUACUUUUUCGUGGGGGAUAACGUAGGGAAACUUACGCUAAUACCGCAUACGACCUACGGGUGAAAGCAGGGGAUCUUCGGACCUUGCGCGAUUGAAUGAGCCGAUGUUGGAUUAGCUAGUUGGCGGGGUAAAGGCCCACCAAGGCGACGAUCCGUAGCUGGUCUGAGAGGAUGAUAAGCCACACUGGAGCUGAGGCACGGUCCAUGCUCCUACGGGAGGCAGCAGUGGGGAAUAUUGGACAAUGGGCGCAAGCCUGAUCCAGCCAUACCGCGUGGGUGAAGAAGGCCUUCGGGUUGUAAAGACCUUUUGUUGGGAGAGAAAAGCAGCAGGUUAAUACCCCGCUGUUCUGACGGUACCCGAAGAAUAAGCACCGGCUAACUUCGUG
rnacentral:rRNA from 1 species